rnacentral:rRNA from 1 species
UACGAAGGGGGCUAGCGUUGUUCGGAAUUACUGGGCGUAAAGCGCGCGCAGGCGGCUAUCCAAGUCAGUGGUGAAAGCCCGGAGCUCAACUCCGGAACUGCCAUUGAAACUGUUUAGCUUGAGGACGAGAGAGGUGAGUGGAACUGCGAGUGUAGAGGUGAAAUUCGUAGAUAUUCGCAAGAACACCAGUGGCGAAGGCGGCUCACUGGCCCGGUACUGACGCUGAGGUGCGAAAGCGUGGGGAGCAACAGG